AUUCUUAUUAUCUAUAUUGUUCGUAUAAUCUUGGGAAUAGGGCCCAAAAGUUUCUACCGGAUCCCCGUAAAGGAUCUGACUACGAACGAUAAUCAGUGUUGC
rnacentral:ncRNA from 2 species